rnacentral:rRNA from 1 species
UACAGAGGGUGCGAGCGUUAAUCGGAAUUACUGGGCGUAAAGCGUGCGUAGACGGUUAGAUAAGUCGGGUGUGAAAGCCCCGGGCUCAACCUGGGAACUGCAUUUGAGACUGCAUGGCUAGAGUAUCGAAGAGGGAAGUGGAAUUUCCGGUGUAGCGGUGAAAUGCGUAGAUAUCGGAAGGAACACCAGUGGCGAAAGCGACUUCCUGGUCGAAUACUGACGUUCAUGUGCGAAAGCGUGGGGAGCAAACAG